rnacentral:antisense_RNA from 1 species
GGUUAUGGGGUGGCUGUUUUUCUACGUGGAACAAGCAGGGUCCCAGUUCAAGUUUCUGCUGCGUAUCUGAUAAUCUUGAGGUAUUUAUGAAGGACUCCUUUGAAAGUUCUCUACUGAGUUUCCUUAAGGAAUUCCUUAAGGAAUCCUUAAGGUAUUAUUCAAUCCAGGUUUAAGUCCUUCAGCAUCUGACAUUCUCCUGGCAACUGUAAUUCAAUCAAUGAUGACUCAUCUGAGAUGAGCAAGUUGGUCCAGUCAGACCAAACAAAAGACACUCUAUAAUCAGGGGAGAAGUCUUCUCUAUAUCUUUCUUAUAUGAGCAAAUUUAAUGACCUCCACCAUGUCUAAGAACAAGCAGCUAUUUCUGUAGAGAAAGAUCACCUUUGGAUAACAAUACAUGAUUUUAGGCUCUAAAAGUUAAAACGUGUUUGUAACGUUGAUAUUAUGCAGAGGUCUUGACAGAACUUAGCAGUCUCUGAGGCUACAGAGAAGUGUGAAAAAGAGCAUAGAGAUUUCAGAAGGAGGCAGAUUCAGUCAGACAUACUGAAUCCUGUUUGAUCUCAAUUCAGGCACACUCCAGAUGGAU